GUCGGGUGUGGUGGCACAUGCCUGAAGUCCUAGCUACUCCGGAGGCUGAGGUGGGAGGAUCGCUUGAGCCCAGGGGUUCUGGGCUGUAGUGCACUAUGCCAAUUGGGUGUCCACACUAAGUUCGGCAUCAAUAUGGUGACCUCCUGGGAGUGGGGGACCACCAGGUUGUCUAAGUAGGGGUGAACCAGCCCAGGUUGGAAACAGAGCAGGUCAAAACUCGCGUGCUGCUCAGUAGUGAGAUCGCGCCUGUGAAUAGCCACUGCACUCCAGCCUGGGCAACAUAGCAAGACCCCGUCUCU
rnacentral:SRP_RNA from 1 species